UUCAACCGCUGAGUCCUAGAGGGAGCAAAAGCCAUCAUCCCGAGGAAACGCUUCAUGCAUUUUCCUAGCGAGAAAAACCCUGGGGCUGAAAUCCCGAGCGGAGCCCCGGACCCGGUCCUCGCGGCUCGGAAAAGGGAAGGAUUUGGCCGCCUCCCGCAGCGCCGACCCAGCCGAGCACAGCCUCCCCCUCCUUCUCGGUCUCCCCGCCGCCCCGCGAGGCAGCAUCCCAGCGGCACCCACUUGAGAAGGCUCGGCGGCUGGCGCCCAGCUACCAGCCCUGCAACAUUGUCACGGCCGCGGGGCCGGCCUGCGACGCGGAGAGGAGGCGGCGCUGCAGCGAGAGCCGGGGCAGCUUUCGGCGCCCGCCCGCCCGCCAGCUGAUCCCCCGGAGCGCCCGGCGGAGACUGACCCGCCGCCCCUCCCCCGCGCGCGCUCCCGCUCGGCUCCAUCCACCCAACCAGGAAGUGAACCGUCGCCGGAAGUGCCGCUCGGGACAGCAAGGUGAGGAGCCGAGGCCCUCCUGUUGCUGCCGCCGGGUCGCGACAGACGAGAAGGAGUCGUGGAAGAGAAGGGGACCCGGGAGAGGGGUGUCUCGGUGUGGAGAGAGUUUUGGAAAAGAACUUUUAUCGCCCGGCCCGCAGGGCACCAUGGGAAACGUAGUUCGGCACAAGCCACCCGCUGCACUACAACUCCCAGGAUGCCCCUGAAGGAGCGAGCGAGGAGGCUGCGGUGGCCUCCUCGGCCUCGAAGGUAGUUAGUGGGGUGGUGCAUUUGUGGGGAUUCGGUUAUUUAAACAUAUCCGGUAAAGAAACCGCCAAGGACUAGGAAACUGCUGCAUGUUCCACCCUUUUGGAGCCAUCUUAUUUGCGAUUUCACCUCCCUGCACAAGGGAUUCUGGGGAUUGUUGUUUCCAAAUGGAUCGAGCCUGACACCUGAAGGACGCGGCUUAACCGCUUAGCCUCUGGCGAGUCCUGCGGGGCUUACCGACGUCACCUGGGCAGAAGGUGGAAGACAAGGGGUGACCCGGAGGAUUUUUCUGGCAGUUGGUACAAGGCCACAAUUGAACGCUAACUCUGAGUAAAACCUGUGCCCUUCCGCCCCCAACCUCAAAAGCCGUUUUUGCUCCCAAAUGUUGAGAAUCGCUCGGUAGUCACCUCUGAGCUAGGCGCAGCGAGAACGCUUAAUAAGACUGGGCUGAGAAUCUACAGGCAAGUCUCAAACCAAGAAACUUAAAGGGUGUGUGCAGAGGAGAUCCUAGGGUACCAGCAGAUCCAAGCCAUUGGCCGUGACCCCAAACUGAGGCUGGCUCGUCUGCCGACAGUGACCCUUGAUUCUUCCACGUUUGCUGAUGAUGUGGGUGGGCCUGACCCUCACAAAUCCCCUCACACAAGAACCCAAGACUGAUCUUCUGUUAUUUCUUUUUCAAAACUCAAGAUUCCCUCCUUCCUCCUUCCUUGAUGUUUAUUUUACCCUGAUAUCGCCUGAGUGCCAAAGUCCACUUGGAGGACAAUGUGGUUUUCAUCAGCCAAAUGCAGAAGAUUUGGAAGGCCAGUUAGUACCCUUCUACAUCCCUAGAUUUCCUGAUCGACGAUGCUGAAGAAGUAUAAGAAACAAAGAAAAUAUAGACAAGUAAAAUCAACAUAAGGAAUUGUGAUAAUUUCUCCUACCUAUAGUGACAAUUUCUCUUGAUAUAUAUUCUUCCAGAUCUCUCCUUUUCCAUCUCUAAUAAAAGUUAUAUGUUCAUUGUCAA